rnacentral:rRNA from 1 species
GACGAACGCUGGCGGCGUGCUUAACACAUGCAAGUCGAACGGAAAGGCCCUGCUUUUGUGGGGUGCUCGAGUGGCGAACGGGUGAGUAACACGUGAGUAACCUGCCCUUGACUUUGUGAUAACUUCAGGAAACUGGGGCUAAUACCGGAUAGGAGCUCCUGCUGCAUGGUGGGGGUUGGAAAGUUUCGGCGGUUGGGGAUGGACUCGCGGCUUAUCAGCUUGUUGGUGGGGUAGUGGCUUACCAAGGCUUUGACGGGUAGCCGGCCUGAGAGGGUGACCGGCCACAUUGGGACUGAGAUACGGCCCAGACUCCUACGGGAGGCAGCGGUGGGGAAUAUUGCACAAUGGGCGGAAGCCUGAUGCAGCAACGCCGCGUGCGGGAUGACGGCCUUCGGGUUGUAAACCGCUUUCGCCUGUGACGAAGCGUGAGUGACGGUAAUGGGUAAAGAAGCACCGGCUAACUACGUG